UACGUAGGGGGCUAGCGUUGUCCGGAUUUAUUGGGCGUAAAGAGCGUGUAGGCGGCCUGGUAGGUCUGCUGUGAAAACUCGAGGCUCAACCUCGAGAUGUCGGCGGAAACCAUCUGGCUAGAGUCCGGAAGAGGAGACUGGAAUUCCUGGUGUAGCGGUGAAAUGCGCAGAUAUCAGGAAGAAUAUCCGUGGCGAAGGCGGCUCUCUGGGACGGUACUGACGCUGAGACGCGAAAGCGUGGGGAGCGAACAGG
rnacentral:rRNA from 1 species